rnacentral:lncRNA from 1 species
CGUGACCAAUAAACCAUGUGUCUUCGCAAAACGUGUGUUCCGCUUUUUAUUUACAUUCUUUUUGCGUCUCCGACAGCACACAUGUCACAGCAACGAAAUUUGCAUUAGUUUUGCCGCCUGAAAAGUACCAAUUCGCUUUUUAAAUGUGUGAAUUCAUACUCUGUGUUUACAAGUUUACGGCACGAGCAGUGCGAAGCACACGGUGUUGUGGAAGCCCUUUGACGGUCAAAACAAUAAGUUGUCUUUGAGAGCUCGAGUGAUUGGCCGAGUGCAGCCCUAAGGUGUGAAAAUUUCCUGGCUCUGGACGACACACUAGGCACGUCCAGACUAUAUUUUGGCGCUUCUACGACAUUUUGCCAAAGAUUUCACACGUUCCUGAACUCUUCCCUCUUGAUAAAGCUCAAAUACGAUUUACGCGGCAAGAAGAUCUUUACGUGACUCAUGGAAAACUGAGCAAGCUAAAAAGAAGGACCUGUUGUAGCUAAAAGGAUCUUUUAUACUGAAGCCACAAGAUGAACAAAAUUUGGCGCCCUUGGGUAGAGAGUCCCCAGGACUGCCAGAGAAAACGCCGACCACGAUACACGGUAAGUUAUUCCAUUUCGACAACUUUAAAAUUAUAUUCUUGGAGAUGUAUUUCGCAACACAAUUCGUUGUGGCCGUAGCAUGUAAAUUUUACACAAUAAAAGAAAAAAAAAUUGUCAAUUAAAUAUAUCCAGUGAAGGUUGCACUUUUCGCCAAAAUAUGUCACGCGCGUCAUCUCUU